GAGGGUGCAAGCGUUAUCCGGAUUUAUUGGGUUUAAAGGGUCCGUAGGCGGACUUGUAAGUCAGUGGUGAAAUCUCAUAGCUUAACUAUGAAACUGCCAUUGAUACUGCAGGUCUUGAGUAAAUUUGAAGUGGCUGGAAUAAGUAGUGUAGCGGUGAAAUGCAUAGAUAUUACUUAGAACACCAAUUGCGAAGGCAGGUCACUAAGAUUUAACUGACGCUGAUGGACGAAAGCGUGGGUAGCGAACAGGA
rnacentral:misc_RNA from 1 species